rnacentral:rRNA from 1 species
UGCGUAGGCGGAAUAUUAAGUCAGUGGUGAAAUCCCGCGGCUCAACCGUAGAACUGCCAUUGAUACUGAUAUUCUUGAAUGUAGUUGAGGUAGGCGGAAUGUGUAAUGUAGCGGUGAAAUGCUUAGAUAUUACACAGAACACCGAUUGCGAAGGCAGCUUGCUAAACUGUGAUUGACGCUGAUGCACGAAAGCGUGGGGAGCGAACAGGAUUAGAUACCCUGGUAGUCC